rnacentral:snoRNA from 1 species
ACGGAGCCAAAGUGGCAUAUUUAGUUUCCAUUGUUACAAUUUGUGUCUCAAAUCUCCGAAAUUAACUUUAAAUCCGAACGGCAUCCUGUUUAAUCCUUCAUAUUAAAACAGAUGACUUAUGUUUGUGUACAAU